UACAGAGGUGGCAAGCGUUGUUCGGAAUUACUGGGCGUAAAGGGCGCGUAGGCGGUUCGAUAAGUCCCGUGUGAAAGCCCCCGGCUCAACUGGGGAACUGCACGGGAAACUGACGGACUUGAGUUCGGGAGAGGGAAGCGGAAUUCCGGGUGUAGCGGUGGAAAUGCGUAGAUAUCCGGAGGAACACCGGUGGCGAAGGCGGCUUCCUGGACCGGACACUGACGCUGAGGCGCGAAAGCUAGGGGAGCAAACGGG
rnacentral:rRNA from 1 species